rnacentral:rRNA from 1 species
UACAGAGGGUGCAAGCGUUAAUCGGAAUUACUGGGCGUAAAGCGUGCGUAGACGGUCAUGUAAGUCGGGUGUGAAAGCCCCGGGCUCAACCUGGGAAUUGCAUUCGAGACUGCAUGGCUAGGGUGCGGAAGAGGGAAGCGGAAUUUCCGGUGUAGCGGUGAAAUGCGUAGAUAUCGGAAGGAACACCAGUGGCGAAAGCGGCUUCCUGGUCCAGCACCGACGUUCAGGCACGAAAACGUGGGGAGCAAACAGG